UACGUAGGGAGCAAGCGUUGUUCGGAUUUACUGGGCGUAAAGGGCGCGUAGGCGGCGUGACAAGUCACUUGUGAAAUCUCCGGGCUUAACUCGGAACGGCCAAGUGAUACUGUCGUGCUAGAGUGCAGAAGGGGCAAUCGGAAUUCUUGGUGUAGCGGUGAAAUGCGUAGAUAUCAAGAGGAACACCUGAGGUGAAGACGGGUUGCUGGGCUGACACUGACGCUGAGGCGCGAAAGCUAGGGGAGCAAACGGG
rnacentral:rRNA from 1 species